rnacentral:rRNA from 1 species
AACUUACCAGGUCCGAACAUAAGCGUGUAAGACAGAUUGAUAGCUCUUUCUCGAAUCUAUGGGUGGUGGUGCAUGGCCGUUCUUAGUUCGUGGAGUGAUUUGUCUGGUUAAUUCCGAUAACGAACGAGACUCAAAUAUAUUAAAUAGAUGCUUUCAGGAUUAUGGUGUUGAAACUUAUAUAAGCUUCAAGCAUGAAUUCACAUGAUUGUUUGAAUGUCUUUAUAUAAGUGGAGCCGUACCUGUUGGUUUGUCCCAUAUAAGGACACUAGCUUCUUAAANGGACAAAUUGCGUCUAGCNUUAUGAGAUUGANCAAUAACANGUCNGUGAUGCCCUUAGAUGUCCUGGGCNGCACGCGCNCUNCAANGAAAGUAUCAACGUGUAUUUCCUAGACCGAGAGGUCCGGGUAAACCGCUGAACCACUUUCAUGCUUGGGAUUGUGAACUGAAACUGUUCACAUGAACUUGGAAUUCCCAGUAAGUGCGAGUCAUUAACUCGCAUUGAUUACGUCCCUGCCCUUUGUACACACCGCCCGUCGCUACUACCGAUUGAAUUAUUUAGUGAGGUCUCCGGACGUGAUCGCUGUAACGCUUUGUGUUACGGUUGAU